rnacentral:misc_RNA from 1 species
AACGCACGAGACCUGCGGACCUGCGGAAGGAUCAUUACAGAGUGUUCUACCCCCUUGUAAAAAAGGUGGGUUUAACCUCCCGUCCUUUGCUGGACCCCCUAAUUCUGGGGGGCCUUUCAAACCUUUUUGCUUCGGCGGGGUUUACCCCGCCGGAACAUCCUCAAAAAAUUCUUGGUCAAAAACCGUUCAGUCCGAGAAAACUUUUGAAAAAUUAGCGAAAAACUUUUAGCAACGGAUCUC